GUGAGGAAUUUUGCGCAAUGGGGGAAACCCUGACGCAGCGACGCCGCGUGGAGGACGAAGGCCUUCGGGUCGUAAACUCCUGUCAGAGGUGAAGAAUGCCCGCAAGGGUUUGACGGUAACCUCAAAGGAAGCCCCGGCCAACUACGUGCCAGCAGCCGCGGUAAUACGUAGGGGGCAAACGUUGCUCGGAAUUACUGGGCGUAAAGGGUGUGUAGGCCGCUGAGCAAGUCAAAGAUGAAAUCCCGAGGCUUAACUUCGGAACUGUUUUUGAAACUGCUUAGCUUGAGGAUAGUUGAGGAGAAUGGAAUUCCCGGUGGAGCGGUGAAAUGCGUAGAUAUCGGGAGGAACACCUGAGGCGAAGGCGAUUCUCCAAGCUACUCCUGACGCUGAAACACGAAAGCUAGGGGAGCGAACGGGAUUAGAUACCCCAGUAGUCC
rnacentral:rRNA from 1 species